UGGGGAAUAUUGGACAAUGGGCGCAAGCCUGAUCCAGCCAUGCCGCGUGUGUGAAGAAGGCCUUCGGGUUGUAAAGCACUUUAAGCGGGGAGGAAGGUUCGCUACUUAAUACGUAGCGGAAUUGACGUUACCCGCAGAAUAAGCACCGGCUAACUCUGUGCCAGCAGCCGCGGUAAUACAGAGGGUGCAAGCGUUAAUCGGAAUUACUGGGCGUAAAGCGCGCGUAGGCGGUUGUGUAAGUUGGAUGUGAAAUCCCCGGGCUUAACCUGGGAAUGGCAUUCAAAACUGCACGGCUAGAGUGUGGGAGAGGAAGGUAGAAUUCCAGGUGUAGCGGUGAAAUGCGUAGAGAUCUGGAGGAAUACCGAUGGCGAAGGCAGCCUUCUGGCCUAACACUGACGCUGAGGUGCGAAAGCAUGGGGAGCAAACAGG
rnacentral:rRNA from 1 species